rnacentral:rRNA from 1 species
UACAGAGGGUGCGAGCGUUAAUCGGAAUUACUGGGCGUAAAGCGUGCGUAGACGGUUAUUUAAGUCGGGUGUGAAAGCCCCGGGCUCAACCUGGGAAUUGCAUUGGUGACUGCAAGGCUUGAGUGUGUCAGAGGGAGGUGGAAUUCCGCGUGUAGCAGUGAAAUGCGUAGAUAUGCGGAGGAACACCGAUGGCGAAGGCAGCCUCCUGGGAUAACACUGACGCUCAUGCACGAAAGCGUGGGAGCAAACAGG